UGUCCUAUGAUUUAUUCCGUGAUUUAUCCUGCUUGAUAGAGCUUGAGACUCUUAAUCUCAGGGUUGUGGGUUCAAAUGCCACGUUGGGCAA